CGCGCCCAAGAGGGUGCGGCAGAGCCCGCCGCACCAAGGUCCGUCUCCGUGCCGCCGUCCGACCUGAACCGCCACCUCGGCGGCCUCCUCGAGACCGGGAAGGGCGCCGACGUGGUGUUCGCGGUCGCCGGCCACAAGUUCUCCGCGCACCGCUGGCUGCUCGCGGCCCGGUCGCCGGUCUUCAAUGCGGAUUUCUUUGGCGCAAUGAAGGAGAGCGAUGUCGCCGCCGGCGUGGUCCACAUCGGCGACAUGGAGGCACAGGUGUUCAAGGCCUUCCUCGUCUUCAUGUACACCUACUCGCUGCCGGAGAUGGCAAAGGAGGAGGAAGACGCCAUGUACCAGCAUCUCCUUGUGGCCGCGGACAGGUAUAACAUGAAGAGGCUCUAGUUGAUUUGCGAAGACAAGCUGUGCAAGAGAAUUGAUGGGAACACUGUGGCCAACGUGUUGGCGUUGGCUGAGCUUCACCACUGCCGUGAUCUCAAGGACGCGUGCUUCGAAUUUCUCAGCACUCCUGCAAAUCUUAGGGAGGCCAUGGCCACUGACGGCUUCGAGUAUCUUAGCGCAAGCUGCCCUUCUGUUGUCAAGGAGCUGAUUGCCAUGUGCUCCGCUCCUUAG
rnacentral:rRNA from 1 species